AGUGAACGCUAGCGGUGCGCCUAAUACAUGCAAGUCGAGCGAGGCUUCGAGCCGAGCGGCGAACGGCUGCGUAACACGUUGGUACCUGCCCCGAACUCAGGGAUAACAUCGAGAAAUCGGUGCUAAUACCGGAUAGUCCCGAAAGGGUAAAGAUUUUUCGGUUCGGGAGGGGCCUGCGGCCUAUCAGCUAGUUGGUAAGGUAAUGGCUUACCAAGGCUAUGACGGGUAGCUGAUCUGAGAGGAUGAUCAGCCAGAAUGGGACUGAGACACGGCCCAUACUCCUACGGGAGGCAGCAGUAAGGAAUAUUCCGCAAUGGGGGAAACCCUGACGGAGCGACACCGCGUGGAGGAUGACACCAUUUUUUGGCGUAAACUCCUGUCCUGAGGGAAGAAAUUUUUGACGGUACCUCAGAAGAAAGCACCGGCUAAUUCCGUG
rnacentral:rRNA from 1 species